rnacentral:rRNA from 1 species
ACUCCUACGGGAGGCAGCAGUGAGGAAUAUUGGUCAAUGGACCAAAAGUCUGAUCCAGCAAUUCUGUGUGUUUGAUGAAGGCCUUCGGGUUGUAAAGAACUUUCAGUGGGGAAGAAGCAAGUGACGGUACCCACAGAAGAAGCGACGGCUAAAUACGUGCCAGCAGCCGCGGUAAUACGUAUGUCGCAAGCGUUAUCCGGAAUUAUUGGGCAUAAAGGGCGUCUAGGCGGUCUAAUAAGUCUGAUGUGAAAAUGCGGGGCUCAACUCCGUAUUGCGUUGGAAACUGUUAGACUAGAGUUUUGGAGAGGUAGGCGGAACUACAAGUGUAGAGGUGAAAUUCGUAGAGAUUUGUAGGAAUGCCGAUGACGAAGGUAGCUUACUGGACAAAUACUGACGCUGAAGCGCGAAAGCUAGGGGAGCAAACAGGAUUAGAUACCCUGGUAGCGACUGA